GCUCGGCGGCGUCUGCAACCAGUUCCAGGCGGACGGCUUUACCUUCGAUAUGGGGCCGUCCUGGUAUCUGAUGCCGGAUGUCUUCGAGAGCUUCUUCCGUCUGCUGGGAGAGGACGUAGCCGAUCAUCUGGACCUGGUCAAGCUGAGCCCGUCGUACCGUAUCUUUUUCAAGGACACGGGCCGGC
rnacentral:misc_RNA from 1 species